GCCAGACUCCUACGGGAGGCAGCAGUGGGGAAUAUUGCACAAUGGGGGAAACCCUGAUGCAGCGACGCCGCGUGAAGGAAGAAGUAUUUCGGUAUGUAAACUUCUAUCAGCAGGGAAGAAAAUGACGGUACCUGACUAAGAAGCCCCGGCUAACUACGUGCCAGCAGCCGCGGUAAUACGGAGGGUGCGAGCGUUAAUCGGAAUUACUGGGCGUAAAGCGCUCGUAGACGGUAUGUCAAGUCAAGGGUGAAAUCCCCGCGCUCAACGUGGGAACUGCCUUUGAAACUGGCAAACUGGAGUGUGUGAGAGGAUAGUGGAAUUCCAGGUGUAGCGGUGAAAUGCGUAGAUAUCAGGAGGAACACCGGUGGCGAAGGCGGCCUGCUGGACUGCGACUGACGUUGAGGCCCGAAAGCGUGGGGAGCAAACAGGAUUAGAUACCCGAGUACU
rnacentral:rRNA from 1 species